CAAGGCUUGACAUGACAGAAGUAGUGAGCUGAAAGGUGAACAACCUGUUGAGCCAGGAGCUGUCACAGGUGCUGCAUGGCUGUCGUCAGCUCGUGCCGUGAGGUGUUUGGUUAAGUCCUGUAACGAGCGCAACCCCUAUUGCCAGUUGUAUUCUCUGGCGAGACUGCCUCGCAAAACGGGGAGGAAGGUGGGGAUGACGUCAAGUCAGCACGGCCCUUAUGCCUUGGGCUACACACACGCUACAAUGGGUGGUACAAUGGGUUGUAAUAGAGUAAUCUGGAGCUAAUCCUAAAAGCCAUCCUCAGUUCAGAUUGUAGGCUGAAACCCGCCUGCAUGAAGGUGGAGUUGCUAGUAACCGCAGGUCAGCAUACUGCGGUGAAUACGUUCU
rnacentral:rRNA from 1 species